CUGGUGUGCUACAGAAGAAUGUGUCGAAGAAGAACAAGGCGAACCAGCAGAGGAAGUCAAGGAAGAUGCAGAGGAAGCCAUAGCAGAAGGACAAGAAGAACAAGCUAAAGAGCCAGAAGAAGGGGAAUCAAAACCAAGACCCAAGCUCUUUAUGCCAAAUCUGGUGCCUCCAAAGAUCCCUGAUGGGGAGAGAGUAGACUUUGAUGACAUUCACCGCAAGCGAAUGGAGAAGGACCUGAAUGAGCUGCAAACCCUGAUUGAGGCCCAUUUUGAGAACAGAAAGAAGGAGGAAGAAGAGCUGAUAUUCCUCAAGGACAGAAUUGAGCAGCGGCGAGCAGAACGAGCAGAGCAACAACGGAUUCGUAGUGAGCGAGAGAAGGAACGACAAGCCCGCUUGGCUGAAGAGAGAGCCCGGAAAGAGGAAGAGGAAAAUAGGAAGAGGGCAGAAGAGGAUGCCAGGAAGAAGAAGGCAUUCUCCAACAUGCUCCAUUUUGGAGGCUACCUGCAGAAGACAGAGAAGAAAAGUGGGAAAAAACAAACAGAGCGGGAAAAGAAGAAAAAGAUCCUCAGUGAGCGUCGAAAACCUCUGAGUAUUGAUCACUUGAAUGAAGACAAAUUGAGGGAAAAGGCCAAGGAACUGUGGCAGAGCAUCCAUGACCUUGAAGCGGAGAAAUUUGACUUGCAGGAAAAGUUCAAGCGCCAGAAAUAUGAGAUUAAUGUUCUACGGAACCGCAUUAGUGACCAUCAAAAGGUGAAAGGGUGAGUAGCAUGUUGUGCCUUUUGGUGUAUGGUGGUGUGCUGUGAUGGUUUGCAGUGCAUGCAGGAAGCUCAAAGGCUGCCCGUGGAAAGCCUGUGGUUGGUGGCCGAUGGAAGUGAGGUGUGGUUUGUGCCCAGCUGUGGAGGAGGCAGAGAGUAGUAUCUGUCUGUUUCAAUCAGCCCUCGAUUCAUACCCCAGUCCAUGCAGCCCAAAGGAACGCACCCACAACUCUAGUUUAUUCAGAGCAAGCCAGCUUCCAAGGGCCUCACUCUGUAGAAUGACUGUAGUAGCACUGUCACCGCAUGGAGCAAGCCCAGUGCUGUGUGGAGAUGACUGUGUCACCAAACAUAAGGUUAUUGUGUCUGUAAAUAAAGCCAACCAUGCAACAGCA